ensembl:lncRNA
GGCCGAGCGGGAGCUGAAGGGUCUGCUUGCCCCGGAUUUGGAGUGUCCGUUACCUGCUUGCAUUUGGGGAGUCCCUCCUCCCGCGAUCUCCUCCGCCCCCUCUCUGCUCUCCCUGCCCUUACCCUCCCCCAGCCUAGAGGUCUGGGGUGCUGCGUGUGGACACAGGAGAAGAUGGCGGGGGAGAAGGGGGGAGCAUUUGGGUGAGCGGGCAGUGAGGGGAAGGAAAGCGGAGACUGGAGGAGGGGUUUUGAGGAGCAGGAUGGUUCUGGGGGCUAGGGUGGGGGGAGACUCGGGAACGGUAGGGAAAUGAACUGUUUUUGACCAGAGACACUUAUCAAAAUCUCCUGGGGACCAAGGAACCACGUACAAAAGCAAACCUACCAACCACCAAAAACUAGACAAAUAAAGACAAACUAAAACAGAACAGGACAAAAACAAAGAAAAAGUGCUUUACAAAUUUAGCUCCGGGGAGCCGUAUUCUGCAGCUUCAUUCCCCCCUAAGGAAGAGAAAAAAGAGCACCACCAUUACUACCACCGCCCCAACCCUACACACACAAACUUAGUCAGAAACCGAAAACCAAACGAACCAGAAAUUCUGGGUAGCGAGCUAGUUGUUCUGUCUGUGUGUUUAAUUAAUUUUCCCUCUAAAUCUCACCUCCACCCCGUUCAUGUCCUCUUUGAUUUAUUUUUCUCCGUUCCAAUGAGACUCCGAUGGCUGCUCUCCAUUGCCACAAAAUCUAGAAGAUGGACUGUUUCAAAACUGCUGGGGUGGAAGACACUAGGAAAUACUCUGUCCCGUUUUCUCCACAGAGCAAGUUCCAUCAUGCCCUUCUGGGUCUCCUUUCCUUCUCUCUUGGACAACAUGAAAUCACUGAAAUAUUGAGAAGUUUCUGCUUUCAGUUGGAGCAGGGCUUGGCUGUGAGAAAAACCAACUAAAUCUCAGAUGAAAGGAAGACAGGUUUAAAGGCCUCCGUUUGUUUCAAAAGGGUCUGCAUGUUGGGGGGUGGGGGAAGCAGAACAACUGUGUUUCAUUAUUAUUAUUAUUAUUAUUAUUAUUCAACAGUAAUUUAUUGCUGGGGACAAAUGUUGGGUAGCAAGAACUUUAAUUUGCACUAUCAGUCUCCCAAAUAGAAAAUCAUGUAUAGUAUUUCAUAGUAAUAAUCAAGCAACUUUAUGAACUGCUGAUGAAUAAAAAAGUGAGAAAGACAGUUGAAGGUGGUUAGGUAACAUGCCUGCUUGGUGCACAAGAUACUCUUUUUAAUCUCUUGUGGAGGUGGUUUCUUACCAUCUUUUAAUAAGAAUUAAAAAAUUGGAAACAGAACAAAUAAGAAAAGGAAAAAACCUGCCAUUUAAUAAGACUGAAGUCAUGCAUGUUCUGAAAGGUGCAGAAAGAAACACAAUUAGGUCUCACUCUGGUUAGGCAUUAUUUAUUUAAUUACGUUGUAUAUCAUUGUUUGCAGCGCAAACAUCCUAUGCAUUUGAAACUGAGCACUAUACUGGGCUAGCUUUCUGAUAGACUGUUUUGUGGAUAGUGUGAUUUCACAGUCUACUGCCUGUUUUCACCGAAAACACAACAUUCUUGUCCUAUUCUUGUAUUUAGAGGAAAAGGAAAAAAGGAAGAUUAUUGUAAAUAUUUUCUUUAAUGCACACACUCACAGAGUGGUUACAAACUGCCAGUGUUAAUCCUGGGACGUCUCACAGAUUGAUCUACCUGUCCAUGUAUGUCUGCUGAGCUUUCUUCUAGGUUAUGUCCUUGCUCUAUUACCUUUCCCCUCCCCACUUCUAUCAGAACCAUUUCUGUGCGCCAAAAUACAACAGGGGGAUGUGUCCCAGUACACUUACCAAUAAAACAUAACUGAAAGAAGAGCAAUUUUAUGAUUUGGGUGCAUUUUUGUGUUUU